CCUACGGGAGGCAGCAGUGAGGAAUAUUGGUCAAUGGACGAGAGUCUGAACCAGCCAAGUCGCGUGAAGGAUGACUGCACUAUGGGUUGUAAACUUCUUUUAUCAAGGAAUAAAACGAGGCACGUGUGCCUUUUUGCAUGUACCUUAUGAAUAAGGAUCGGCUAACUCCGUGCCAGCAGCCGCGGUAAUACGGAGGAUCCGAGCGUUAUCCGGAUUUAUUGGGUUUAAAGGGAGCGUAGACGGGUUGUUAAGUCAGGUGUGAAAGUUUGCGGCUCAACCGUAAAAUUGCAGUUGAUACUGGCAGUCGUGAGUACAGUAGAGGUAGGCGGAAUGCGUGGUGUAGCGGUGAAAUGCUUAGAUAUCACGAAGAACCCCGAUUGCGAAGGCAGCUUACUAAACUGUGACUGACGUUGAUGCUCGAAAGUGUGGGUAUCAAACAGGAUUAGAUACCCUAGUAGUC
rnacentral:rRNA from 1 species